GGUAAAGGGUGGAAGGGGCCAGGCCCAGGCCCCAGAACAAUGUUAUUGGGUA
rfam:Mus musculus chromosome 7, GRC primary reference assembly.